ensembl:lncRNA
UUAUGGGAUGCUACGACAUGUAGCUCACUGUACAUUGAAUUUACAUGAGUUUCCUGUCCAGCAGACAAACCGAAAUGCAGGCUGCAGAACCCAACCCCCAGCUGUUGUCUCUGGGGAAGAAAGAUGCUUCCCGGCUGCUGGAGGUGUACGUCAAGCGCAGCCUGAGCCUAAACGAUGGAUCGCCUGUGGGGCACAAGGCAGGGAUCAAGUCCCGCAAGUGGGUGACCAGUCAAGAACGGGGUGUCAAGGUUCGUAGACAUUCCAGCGACAGCUCCGCCCACCUAGGACUUGGAGAGGUGCCAGAUGAGAUCAGGGCCCUUGCACCUCCCGCGUCUCGUCCAGAAUCGCCAUUUGCAUGUGCGCUCGAAGAGCCCGUGCUGGAUGACCCUGUGCCGGAUGACCCUACUGACCAAAAUGCACCUGUCGCACCAGAAAAGAAAGUCAAAAAAGGCACCAAGAAAUCAAAGAAGCCUUCCCUUUGGAAGAACUUUCUAGGCCUAUUCUCCAAGAAGGAGGUUGAGGAGAAAGCAGAGAGAGAGCCCAGCCCGGAGAGGAUGGGGGCUGGCACACCCCCGGAAACACCCUCGCCCUCAAUUUCCUGCCUGCCUGUCCCAGCACCCUUCUCUGCUGGGGAGAAGGAGGGAUCACCUCAUGUUGACAAGCCUCUAAGAAGGAAGCUCUCUGUUAAAAAGUUCUCCUUCCGGAGCAGGUCCAAUGAAAUAAAGAGGCCCGAGAAACCUGCUACCCUCCAGGUGUCUGGCACAGUGCCUAUAGAAGGGGUCUUGUCCGUGGAACCGACGAGCACCUACUAUGAGAAAGUGUCCGAGGAACUGGAGCGGAUUGUGAAGGAGGUGAAGGAAAGCCCAACCUGCGAGAAUCAUGUGUCCUUCGCACAUUGCAUCGCAACAGCCAGAACGGUGGCUGCUAAGGAUGAAGAAACCAUUGAGAAGAUCAUCAGUUUGUUAAAAGAGCAAGGGGACAACCUUGAUUUGAAGAUGCGCGAGAACGGCACCGUGAGCUCCUUCUUCCGGAACCUGUCCUACAGCUCCUUCCAACAGCUGGCCGAUCGCUACAUGCAGGAGGAGAUCCCCAGCCGGCUUCCCCAGGAAGCUGGCGCCCCAGAGCUUGUCCGCUUUGCCUUCACUCUUGACUUCACCGCCAAGGUGGCCGGCCUCUCCAAUCAGACCAUCAGCCGCAUCAUGGGCUUCGGCAAUCGCUACCUGCAGGACCGCUUCACGCAGAUGAGCAGGUCGAACCUUGGGGUGGCCUCAACCAAGGCUGUGCAGAAUUUCAACACCCCAGACUAAUCCUGAGAUAUUGGAAGGCUGCGAGGCUGCUUCGUGUUCUCACACCUGCUUUAAGGUUUUUGUAAAAUUGUCCGCGGGAGCUGUUUGCACAGAUGUCAAAAUGCUGAUGUCUCUGCACAUAUGAAACCUCACUUUACCAAAACAACUGAGACCUUCUGGUGAGAAGCAGAACUAUCACAUACUGGGUGUAUUUUGAAAUAGCUUUAUUCAGCUUCUCCUUCAUGUUGAAAUCGUAAGUGAGCGCUGACUACUCAAUUUUCCAAGCUUUAAGUUGUGGUAGAUGGGCUACAAGUCCACUUUUUUACCCCCAGCCAGGGUAUCAAACUGUGCAGCACUAUGUUCGCAAAUACACUCAUCCCCCGUUUACCGGUCCUUAUUAAUUCCGAGAAACCGACCAAGUACUGAACCACCACAUAAUAAAAUUCCUUUUUCCAUAAUUUUUUUUAUGAGG